rnacentral:rRNA from 1 species
UACAGAGGUCUCAAGCGUUGUUCGGAUUCAUUGGGCGUAAAGGGUGCGUAGGCGGCGCGGUAAGUCGGGUGUGAAAUCUCGGAGCUUAACUCCGAAACUGCAUUCGAUACUGCCGUGCUUGAGGACUGGAGAGGAGACUGGAAUUUACGGUGUAGCGGUGAAAUGCGUAGAUAUCGUAAGGAAGACCAGUGGCGAAGGCGGGUCUCUGGACCGCAACUGACGCUGGAGGAACGAAAGCUAGGGGGAGCAAACAGG